AGAUCUCACACCACCAACUCAUGAGACGGAAACCUUUAAGUCAGUGAAUUAAUAUCUGGGUUUUCCUUUCUUUCUUUUUCCAGCAUCUCUCAAGAACCUUAGCAAGAAUAAGAAAGUGGUUCUGUUUCCUGAAAGAAAUAGCUGAGACCCAGGAAGAGAGAAGGCAAUCUGUCCAAGAUGUUUUGAAUGUAGGUGGGUGAACCAGGACUCAUGAGUCACUUAAACCAUCCUUUAACAAUGAAACAGAAUAGUGGGGAGCUGCCCACCCCGAGCUCCGCACCGAGUGCUGAGAGAAUACAGAUGGCGGUGUCUGGACCACGGCCGUAGGGCUGCACAGGAGAGACAGACUUCAGGACCACAUGGAUCAGACCUGGCCGUGGAAGGGAUGGAAGAGAUAAGGCUGACGCUGAAGCUGGGGUCUCUGGAUUGGGCUCUGGGGUAAUGUCUUCAUCUAUGGCCGCUCUCGGAGUUAAAUCCUUGGCCUUGCAGGGACAGAGCUGUUAUUCCGGUUCCAGCCCUGGCUAUUUCAAGACCGAACAUAGUUGCUAUGGUUAUGACGGUUGGUGUGUUUUUGGAUCCAAGCAAAG
ensembl:lncRNA